rnacentral:rRNA from 1 species
GAUGAACGCUAGCUACAGGCUUAACACAUGCAAGUCGAGGGGCAGCACUAGGUAGCAAUACUGAGGUGGCGACCGGCGCACGGGUGCGUAACGCGUAUCCAACCUUCCCGUUACUCAGGGAUAGCCUUCCGAAAGGGAGAUUAAUACCUGAUGGUGUUUGAAUUCCGCAUGGUAUUCAAGCUAAAGAUUUAUCGGUAACGGAUGGGGAUGCGUGACAUUAGGUAGAUGGCGGGGUAACGGCCCACCAUGCCUACGAUGUCUAGGGGUUCUGAGAGGAAGGUCCCCCACACUGGAACUGAGACACGGUCCAGACUCCUACGGGAGGCAGCAGUGAGGAAUAUUGGUCAAUGGUCGGAAGACUGAACCAGCCAAGUAGCGUGAAGGAUGAAGGUUCUAUGGAUUGUAAACUUCUUUUAUACGGGAAUAAAACGUCCCACGUGUGGGAUCUUGUAUGUACCGUAUGAAUAAGCAUCGGCUAACUCCGUGCCAGCAGCCGCAGUAAUAC